AACGAACGCUGGCGGCAGGCCUAACACAUGCAAGUCGAGCGCGCCCUUCGGGGUGAGCGGCGGACGGGUGAGUAACGCGUGGGAACGUGCCCUUUUCUACGGAAUAGCCUCGGGAAACUGAGAGUAAUACCGUAUACGCCCUUUGGGGGAAAGAUUUAUCGGAAAAGGAUCGGCCCGCGUUGGAUUAGGUUGUUGGUGGGGUAAUGGCCUACCAAGCCGACGAUCCAUAGCUGGUUUGAGAGGAUGAUCAGCCACACUGGGACUGAGACACGGCCCAGACUCCUACGGGAGGCAGCAGUGGGGAAUCUUAGACAAUGGGGGCAACCCUGAUCUAGCCAUGCCGCGUGAGUGAUGAAGGCCUUAGGGUUGUAAAGCUCUUUCAGCUGGGAAGAUAAUGACGGUACCAGCAGAAGAAGCCCCGGCUAACUCCGUG
rnacentral:rRNA from 1 species